AGUGAACGCUGGCGGUAGGCCUAACACAUGCAAGUCGAACGGCAGCACAGUAAGAGCUUGCUCUUACGGGUGGCGAGUGGCGGACGGGUGAGGAAUACAUCGGAAUCUACUUUUUCGUGGGGGAUAACGUAGGGAAACUUACGCUAAUACCGCAUACGACCUACGGGUGAAAGCAGGGGAUCUUCGGACCUUGCGCGAUUGAAUGAGCCGAUGUCGGAUUAGCUAGUUGGCGGGGUAAAGGCCCACCAAGGCGACGAUCCGUAGCUGGUCUGAGAGGAUAAUCAGCCACACUGGAGCUGAGACACGGUCCAGACUCCUACGGGAGGCAGCAGUGGGGAAUAUUGGACAAUGGGCGCAAGCCUGAUCCAGCCAUACCGCGUGGGUGAAGAAGGCCUUCGGGUUGUAAAGCCCUUUUGUUGGGAAAGAAAAGCAGCAGGUUAAUACCCCGCUGUUCUGACGGUACCCAAAGAAUAAGCACCGGCUAACUUCGUG
rnacentral:rRNA from 1 species